rnacentral:rRNA from 1 species
AGUGAACGCUGGCGGUAGGCCUAACACAUGCAAGUCGAACGGCAGCACAGUAAGGGCUUGCUCUUACGGGUGGCGAGUGGCGGACGGGUGAGGAAUACAUCGGAAUCUACUUUUUCGUGGGGGAUAACGUAGGGAAACUUACGCUAAUACCGCAUACGACCUACGGGUGAAAGCAGGGGAUCUUCGGACCUUGCGCGAUUGAAUGAGCCGAUGUCGGAUUAGCUAGUUGGCGGGGUAAAGGCCCACCAAGGCGACGAUCCGUAGCUGGUCUGAGAGGAUGAUCAGCCACACUGGAACUGAGACACGGUCCAGACUCCUACGGGAGGCAGCAGUGGGGAAUAUUGGACAAUGGGCGCAAGCCUGAUCCAGCCAUACCGCGUGGGUGAAGAAGGCCUUCGGGUUGUAAAGCCCUUUUGUUGGGAAAGAAAAGCAGCAGGUUAAUACCCCGCUGUUCUGACGGUACCCAAAGGAUAAGCACCGGCUAACUUCGUG